rnacentral:rRNA from 1 species
CCUACGGGAGGCAGCAGUGAGGAAUAUUGGUCAAUGGGCGCGAGCCUGAUCCAGCCAAGUAGCGUGAAUGAUGACUGCCCUCCGGGUUGUAAACUCCUUUUAUAAGGGAAUAAAGUGAGGCACGUGUGCCUUUUUGUAUGUACUUUAUGAAUAAGGAUCGGAUAACUCCGUGCCAGCAGCCGCGGUAAUACGGAGGAUCCGAGCGUUAUCCGGAUUUAUUGGGUUUAAAGGGAGCGUAGAUGGGUUGUUAAGUCAGUUGUGAAAGUUUGCGGCUCAACCGUAAAAUUGCAAUUGAUACUGGCAGUCUUGAGUACAGUUGAGGUAGGCGGAAUUCGUGGUGUAGCGGUGAAAUGCGGAGAUAUCACGAAGAACUCCGAUUGCGAAGGCAGCUUACUAAACUGCCACUGACAUUGAUGCUCGAAAGUGUGGGUAUCAAACAGGAUUAGAUACCCUGGUAGUC